AGAGGAGAAGAGGAGAAGAGGAGGAGGAUUCAGAGGGAAAUGUUCAUUUGGCUGAAAGGGCGCCAAGGACUACACACCUCUGGCCUCUCGUCUUCUCUCCAGCCUGGACAAGGUAAGAACUUGGAGGAAAACAUUAGACUUUAAGAUACUAUUACUGCAUGUUCUCGUCUCUCAGUCUGCACACGAUUUUCCUAAAUUUAUAUUCAAAGCAAACCUAUUGAAAGUCUAAAACUACACGCUCCCCCUGCGUAAUAAUGGCACCUGACAAACAUACAUAAUAAACGUUCCGAGCAUGUGGCCUUGUUCAUGUUUCAACAAAGACACAAUUAUCAGUCUCUGUUCAAACCAAAUUUUCGUCUCAUUCCCUGAAUCCAUUUUCGGACACAUAAAACACUCUGCUACAUCUUAAUGUGAGAUUUGUUCCGCCGGAUGAUUAAAACCAAAAAUCCAAUGUUGAGAGCACACACACACACACGCACACGCACAUACACACACGGUUCGCCUCCACCUCCACCUCCACACUGCACUCUCUCCACCGGGAAUUCAAACACACAGCGAGGAAGAGCAAAUAUCCAAACAUGAAGCGUUACACCUCCAAUCUAAAUAAUUAACAGUCUCUCAGCGUGGAGUUCAGACGACACUGGAGACGCUUUGGAAAUAAUAAUAAUUCUGCAUGCCAAUAUCAGGGAGCAUGUUUCCUAAUUACACGCUUGUGAUAGUGAAGCUCGGGAUUUUACUGUUGUGAUUUCAUGAAACGGUGGUUUUUUUUAUCUCGCAGAAGUUGCUUGUUUUGUCGGAAUAAAACUUGACGAUUACAAAAACAGAGUCAAUUUGGAUUCAGGACAUUAAGAGCGUAGAAAUGUGAUUUUUUGCAUGCAAACAUACGGACUGAUUGACGCUCUGAGGUGGAUAAUAAACGCUUAAAAUCAUAAAAUAGUCGUUUUAGUGCAUGUAUAGCCUGCUUAAUUAAAUAUCCCAUUUAAAGUACUGCUAGUGUAAGCACAUCUCACAAUAUUUACACGUUAGUGAGGCCAAAAGUUGCUUUUAAGUUUUUUAGAAAAUCCGUUUGCACGUUUUAAAAAGCAAGGUUUGUCAAUUGGAUUUGACUAAAAAUAACUAAACAUCAUCUAAGGAUGUCACAAUUUAGAGGGACUUUGCCAAAAUUGCAUUCAAGACAUAUAUGCAAUUACUUUUUGCUGAAUUUAGAGGUUUUUAUUCAAGUGAGCAGAGUUUCUAGGCUGUGUUUUUUUUUUUUUACCAUAUCCUAAAUGUCAAACAGCAUGGGGCUUUCUGAGUCAUGGAUGGAGAAGAGUAAAACACAGGUUUUGCAUGGUGGUGGCUCUGAUCAAUAGUUUAUUUUUGAUGUGAACAGUGAUGCAACAGGCUUGAAUUAAAUCAUAGCUGGAGCUCAAAAGAAGCAGCUUUAAAACUGAAAGAUUAGGACUUUAAAUUUAAAAGAGAGACUUUAUUGCCACUAAAACACUUAGACAUUAAUGUAAUACAGAAUAUAAUAUAGUCUGUGUCACCUGCAUGAUGCACAACUGCGUGUAGAUAUGCAGAAGAAUUAAUGCGAGAACACUUGUUCUCCCUCCUCAAACAAACCUGCUUAUAUAUGUGUGAAAAUGUGUCUAAUAAGGUAUUUUAUUCGAGAUAAAACUUCAUCUAUGUGUGUCUAAAAAAUUCAACUACAGCUACAGAGUCUACCUAUAAACACAGCUCUGCACUUUGCACCAGGAGUGCAGCAGAGAGAGAGAGAGAGAGAGAGAGAGAGAGAGAGAGAGAGGGAGAGGGAGAGGGAGAGGGAGAGAGCUGCCGUCUUUCUGGGGGAGGUGGGUGCUCCAGGGUUUGGGGGGGUUUGGCUCCAGACCAAUAGCAGCCCAGCGGCUUCAGCUAAAGGUCACAUGGUGUGACCUCACACAUUCUCACCCUCACCUAAAGGCCCCGGGAGAAGUUCUCCAUAACAAGAUACAGGACAGUCCAUUUCAGCCGAGGUCUUAAAUAAACCUCAAAGUUCAUCGGACCUGGACGGCUGUUUCAACCACAAAAUUAUGUAAAAUAAGCACAAAAAAAGUAUCUUUUGAUUUAGAGCAGCAAGAUUUUGAUUUGUUUGAAAACUUUGUAAGACAAAAAAGAGAUUUAUUUGUCUCUGGGUUAGAUUUUUAAGUGGGAUUUGAGUGAAAAUGUUGCUUUGAUGGUGUUAAUUUAUACGCACUCUUCACCAAAAAAAGGUGCAAACUCGCGAGUGUUUGUUGCGUGCGUUUGUGUCGUGGAUCUUGCGUGUGGAUCUCCCCUAGCGUGUACGCAUGUGUGUAUCCCUCCCUCUCACUGUGGGGGCUCGGUGCUGUUUGAGGGCAGGCGGCUGGCCAGAGCGUGUGAAAGCAGAUAACCAGGGAGAAUUUUCAUGACGCACACACUUCCUGCUCUCUGAAGUUCUAUUAAAGAAAGAUGAAAACAAAACACACAUCUGAGAUGUUUUCUCUCCAAAUCAAUUUCGACACAUUAAGCAUGCUGAAAAAGAUCAGCGGCACGGCUCUCAUGGACCUUGAAAUAGUGAGGAAGACGAGGAGGAGGGGAUGAUCCAUCAGGAGAGAUUUGUGCAUUUAUGUGAUACAGGGGAAAAAAACAAGAACCUUGAAAUGGUUAAGAUAUCUUUAAAGAUACAUGUAACCUGGUGGCGUGUUGAAGGGUUUGACACUGAAUCCUAGCUGGUGUAGAUCACAAUCUGGAUCACCUAAAAUGUUAAUGCGAGGAUGUAAAAUAGGAGAGAAAAGGCACCAAAGAGACUUUUCUGAGAGCUUAAACAGCACUUCUGUUCCUGCAAAGCUCUCACGAAAGAAGAGCGGGGACUUCCUCUGGAUUAUUUAGCAUUAUUGCUAAAUGUGGAAGAUCUCCAAUCCUCCAUGUUUGCUCCACAGAGCACAGAUUUUGAUAUGAGACAACCUUCUUACAUCGAAUUUCACAAGGAAAACCCCAAAUUAUGCAGAAUAAGGAGUCUGCAGGAGGACGAUCCGUCUAAAGUCCCCUUCAUGCCCCUUCAUGUUAACCCGACGUGUCUAAAGCUGCUAACAUUUUAGCCAUAUCUGCAGCAUCGUGUUCAGACACCUUCAGUUUACACAGUCUGCCCCAGAUGGCAUCUCUCAGCGCUGUUUUCUUUGUGCCUGUCAUCUACUGUAACGUCUUAAUUGACGUUUACCUCUGCUGGCUCGCUGUCAGCCACCCAGAGUCUGAGUCUGAGGAGAAGCCUGGCUGAACGGUUUCCCAGGCUCCUGCUCCAGGUAGAAAAUUACACCUGAGCACUUCUGUUUGUUUUUUUUUUCCUCCUCCUUUGUUGUUCCUUGAAGUCCAAUUUUCCCUCCAAACACAGAGUGAAUUACAAAACGCUCAGGCUGUAUUACAGUAUAAGUGUCUACUUCAUGCUCUCAUGUGAUCUGUGUUACAUCAAUGACGAACUUUCCACAUCAAAACUUUUCUGCAUGGUGGCAACGACGCUAAAAAGAGAAGUUUAUUAAUCGUACAGUUUGAAGUUAAAGAAGUUUCUGUGAUUUCCGUGCCGUUAAUCUCAAUAUCUUGACACUUGAACGCACCAAAGUGUAAAACAUCCGGUUUUUCGCUCAGAUGAAACAAAACCCCAAUCCCUGUCAGAUUUAAUGUCACACUCAUUACUAAUCGGACCCUCCAGCUGUAGAAAUAUGGCAUCCACAGGCAUAAAAUCUACCACAUUACAGAAAACAUUACGUUAUUCAUCCCGGUAAUGAAAUCUUCAACUUUCCUCAAUUCAGCCUCCAAACUCUGAUUUGCUGGAGUAAUGAGGAAACUGCGGGAGGUUGUAUGGACAGGAUUUAAAGGUACAGUGUGUAGAAAUAUUUAGCAAUACCUAGCGAUUGAAACACUCCCCUGCUCACCCCUCCUGUUGGUGAAGCAACGGUGGCCUGUGAGGACAAGAAACUCCUGUGAUGUAUGAUAACUCUGAUUCUCCAUUUCACAAGUUUUCUCUGACUAAAUAUAAAAAUAUGUACAACCAAGCAAACCGAUUUUCAUAUUUGGGUUUUCUCUUCACAUUAAAUCAAAGAUAUCUUUGAAUGUGAUAUUUCACUUCUACCUGGUCUGUUCUUGUGUUAGAUUAUACUAAAUACUCUACACUGCACCUUUAGCUGAUACAAAUGAGGUCUUUUUGGCAGCAGUGAAUCAAAAAUAAAAGUGUUAUCAUCCAUGCUGAUAACUUGUGGUGGAGUUUAAAGCAUAGACUGUAUAUACGGACAACUUGGUUCCACCUCCUGCCUGUAUACGGAUUUAAAGCCAAAAAGCUCUCGGCUGCGAUUUUUCCUCAUUUCCUGAAACCAACAUCGCGCAGUAGCGUUGUACGCAUUCAGCGGGAGAGUCGCCGAGAGUCGCUGUGAUGAAGCGUAUCCCCCGUGUGAGCUACGCAAUCUUCGUACGCUCAUAGGCUGUAUCAAGUGUCAAUCAAAGAAAACAUGAACCCCCUAAUAAUUUUUAAAAAUGGAGCUUCACAGAAAAAAGAGGACUUGAGCACGAACUAGUCUUACAAUAACUACAUGUCAACAUCACAAGCAGUGGGAAAAAAAUUUAUGUUCUGUGUAAUUAAUUUCUAAAGUUUGUCCACAGCUCCAUCAGCUUUGCUGGCGGAGGCAGCCCGUCAACAGAGGGUGCUGUUCUCAGAGUGGCUUCACCCAGCGAGGAGGCAGACGCUGUCCAUUCUACAUACAGUCUAUGGUUUAAACUCAAUAACCACAGAGCAGGGUGGCCAAUAGCUAAUCCACAGCGCCAAUAUCAUGUUAUUUCUUUGCAUUUGAUAAAAUAGGCGACAACAACUGAAUGACAACUUCUGAGAAACAAGUCCUGUAUAUGAAAGUCUAAUAUACAUGGUUAUCUUAGCCAGUAACAUGUUUGAGAUGGUUUUUAACAAUUUCAUGAAACAGAAAAAUAAUUUGAUUUGAGAACAUGACAGAUAUUUAUGCAGGUAAACAAAAUUAAACUACAUUAUUUUAUAAAUCAUAAUGAAGUUUCUGUAAUGGUUUUAGGUUGGAUAUUCAGUCAUUUGGGAUGGAAAAAAAUUGUAAAAGUUGAUUAUCAAUUAGCAUCAUUUAGCAUAAUGCUACGGAGCUCUGGCACGGGCCCAGGGCUCUUAACAAUUCCACGGCCUCAAAGCAUAUUUCAGUGUUUACAUUUUAUGUUUGUUUUUGACAGGAUAGGAUGGUAGAUUGCGUGAGGGGAGUGACAUGCAGGAAAAGAGCCACAGGUCCAAAUAAAACAUGUGAUCACACCUUAACCUCUCGGUCACCGGCGCCUCCCUGAAGUAUAUUUUUAUAAGUUUACGUCUAUUGACAUACUUAGUUACAAGCCAAAUAGCCAAUCUCAACAAACAAACAUAUUAAAAAAACAACUUUAUUCACUCUUAUUCAGCAGCCCACUCAUAUCCCGUAUACUGUCUAUCAGGUGAUUGGAGCCUGGACAGCAGCACUGAUGCAGCUGCCUGCAGUGUCUGCAGACAUCAGUCGGUUUUAUGAACUGCAGUUACUCUCAGAAAGACAUUAGUCAGCCUAAUUAAUUGGUCUGCUUAAAACGCCUGUGUUUUACAUAACUAUCUGCUCAUGCAUAUUAAAACAAACAAAAGUAUAUUAUAAUUAUCGAUGCAGUGAUGCGAGUUAUCCUGUAUAGCAUGUACUGCAGGUAAGGUUAUGUAAGAGACUGUAUGUAAGAGGCACGUUUGUUUUAAUUAAGUUCAGUUUUCUUUCUCUCAGGCUUAUGAUCAUGACUUCUAUCCCUGAUGUUUGAAAAGCACAAAUAAUACAUGAAUAAAAGGUAGAUUUGAGGCUUGGAUGUCCUUGUAGUCCAAGCACCCCACAUAUAGGACUGUCGUACUCAUCUGAGCAGUUGACGGUUUGAUUUCCAGCUGUGACCCUUUCCCAUAUGUCUUCCCUCACUCUCUGUCCUCCAUGUUUCCUGUCUCUCUUGGGUUGGCUUCUCCAAUAAAAGGCAAAAAUGUCUGAAAAUAUAACUUAAAAAAAAAAAAAAGGUUAACUUAAAGACUUGGACCACAGUUUGCAUUACACUGCACUGGGAUAAAACACAUUUCAAACAUACAACAAGACAACAACUUCAUGAAAUCCAUGCAGUUGGCUUUCUAACUUUACAAACAAGUAUUUAGGAAUAUUUUUGACACGUCUGAUUGCGCAGCUUGAGGAUAAACUGAAGGGAAACUUCAGUCUUGCAAACUAGCUUUAAAAAAAAAAAAUGCCCGAUUUAGUGCAAGAACAGAUGAAACUGUUUUCUGUGUUUUUAAAAUGUUAGAUUGAGCCAUGUGAACAAAAUUUAUACAACCUUACGCCCUUUAGUUCUAAAAUAAAUCUUCCAGAUUUGCACAGUAUGCUUUUUAUCGCUCUGUACUUCAGCAGGCUGCCAUCUUCUACUUAAGCCUUCCCUGGAAGUAUAAUCUGAAAAAAUUGGCUUAAUGGCAAAUUAAAUGAAUAAAUCUGCACUUUAUUGGAGGCUUGUACAACACUUGAGACUUCAGACACACACUCCUGUUUGAAACGGAGCAUUGCUUGAUAAGAAAAAGUGAAAUGAUAACUGAUGAUAUCUAUGUUGAGUUAAUGUCAGAGAGAGACAGCGAGUGCAGGGCAGUCGUAUCAAACACUCCCUAUUAUUAAACACAAGUUGGCUUUUGUUUUUACUGCUCGGAAACAUUCUCACACAGACAAACGGUGCAUUCUAACUGUAUCCUCAUUGUUGUAUUAAACAGGGACAGUUCCAGCAGUUUGUGGUUUCCAGUCUGCGCCGCACAACAACCAGUUCCUCCAACAGUAUCCAGUCCUACGAGCUCGGCCUGUUCAGCCACUGUGUGGUCAGCUGAGG